rnacentral:rRNA from 1 species
AUUGAACGCUGGCGGCCGGCCUAACACAUGCAAGUCGAACGAGCGGCGGACGGGUGAGUAAUGUCUGGGAAACUGCCUGAUGGAGGGGGCUAACUACUGGAAACGGUAGCUAAUACCGCAUACCAUCAGAUGUUCCCAGAUGGGAUUAGCUGGUUGUGGGGGUACCGGCUCACCAAGGCGACUAUCCCUAGCUGGUCUGAGAGGAUGACCAGCCACAUGGGAACGUGGACACGGUCCAGACUCCUACGGGAGGCAGCAGUGGGGAAUAUUGGACAAGGGGCGAAAGCCUGAGGCAGCCAUGCCGCGUGUAUGAAGGAGGCCUGCGGUUUGUAAAGUACUUUCAGCGGGGAGGCGUUACCCGCAGAAGAAGCACCGGCUAACUACGUGCCAGCAGCCGCGGUAAUUC